rnacentral:rRNA from 1 species
UACGGGGGGGGCAAGCGUUGUUCGGAAUCACUGGGCGUAAAGCGCACGUAGGCGGAUCUUUAAGUCAGGGGUGAAAUCCCGAGGCUCAACCUCGGAACUGCCUUUGAUACUGAGAAGCUUGAGUCCGGGAGAGGUGAGUGGAACUGCGAGUGUAGAGGUGAAAUUCGUAGAUAUUCGCAAGAACACCAGUGGCGAAGGCGGCUCACUGGCCCGGUACUGACGCUGAGGUGCGAAAGCGUGGGGAGCAAACAGGG